CGGCGUACAUACGUGCGUGCGUGCCGGCGGCGCGAACGUUAGUGCGGCGCGCAGGAAUGUUCUGUGACCUCGGCGCGCAGCGGUCGCGGCGGCUCGAGACAAACAAGUGACGAUCGGCUGCGGCGCGGCGGCUCGGGGUAAACAAGCGACGAUCGGCUGCGGCGCGGCGGCUCGAGGCAAAAAAAAGUGACGAUCGCUGCGGCGCGGCGGCUCGGGGCGAGCGAGCGGCGAGCCGCGCCGGAGUCGGACGUGCGUCGCAUUGUCAUUCGAACUGGUACGCGAUCGCGUCACCGACGUCUUCGUUUCGCGGAGCGCGCACUUGCGGAGAUACGGCAGGCGAACCGUCGAAUCGCCGUGUACCGUUCGCGCUCGCUGUUUUCCCGACGUCACCUGAAUGCAGGAAAGCCGCAGGUUUGUCGGGCGUUUGUCAGCAGCCGUGCGUUAACUUGAGAUACUUACGUUGCGCGUCGCCGACUCGACUCGCGUAGUAUCGCGCAGCAGCGCCGCCGGGCGCCGGCGUCAUGUCGGUCCGUUCGAGAAGCAUCGCGGAGCGUCGCGGACACGUCUCUCCGGCGUCGACGGUCGUCGCGACGCCUCUCACGACGGCGCCGGUGAGUCUAAGGGUCGGAGCGCGAAGCAGCGUAAUAGCUUACGGCAAAGACGCAAGCGUGAACGUAGUUAGCGCGCAAGCUUCGGCCUCCAAUUACAUACGACGUUACUUUGACGCCGAAGCUUGCGCGCCGUCCACGUUAACGCUUGCGUCUUUGCCGUAAGCUGUUACGUUGCUUCGCGCUCGGUCCCUCAACGCGGAUCAAGUUCAGCAAUCGCGGCCUGGGAGGCACCGGACGACGGCAGAGAAAUCCGCCGGUUGUUUAUCACCAGAGAGAACGCAUUAUUCUACUUCCGGACUUGUGAGUCUGCUAUAUUUCUUUCGGACCGUCGAAAGAGAACGGAUUUGGCUGGUUGCCACUUGGAAAAACUUGAUACACUUUCGGACAUACAGCAGAAGGAAACUUCGUAGCUUGUUCGACAAACGCCGCAGUAAGAAACAUAUUCUAAUGUCCAACAGUAUCGAUUAGGUUGAAAAAGGAGCGUGAAGAGGAAUGAGACGAAGAGGGGAAAAAGGCGAGAUCGUUCGACACUCACC